rnacentral:rRNA from 1 species
GAUGAACGCUAGCUACAGGCUUAACACAUGCAAGUCGAGGGGUAACGAGAGGGAAGCUUGCUUUCCUUGUCGACGACCGGCGCACGGGUGAGUAACGCGUAUCCAACCUGCCCCCAACUAAGGAAUAACCUUGCGAAAGUAAGACUAAUACCUUAUAAUUUCCUCAGAUGACAUCUGACGAGGAAUAAAGAUUUAUCGGUUGUGGAUGGGGAUGCGUCUGAUUAGCUUGUUGGCGGGGUAACGGCCCACCAAGGCAACGAUUAGUAGGGGUUCUGAGAGGAAGGUCCCCCACAAUGGAACUGAGACACGGUCCAAACUCCUACGGGAGGCAGCAGUGAGGAAUAUUGGUCAAUGGGCGAAAGCCUGAACCAGCCAAGUAGCGUGCAGGAUGACGGCCCUAUGGGUUGUAAACUGCUUUUAUACAGGAAUAAAGUUAGCCACGUGUGGUUAUUUGUAGGUACUGUAUGAAUAAGGACCGGCUAAUUCCGUGCCAGCCGCCGCAGUAA